UACGUAGGGUGCAAGCGUUGUCCGGAAUUAUUGGGCGUAAAGAGCUCGUAGGCGGUCUGUCGCGUCGGAUGUGAAAACCCAGGGCUCAACCCUGGGCCUGCAUUCGAUACGGGCAGACUAGAGUGCUGUAGGGGAGACUGGAAUUCCUGGUGUAGCGGUGAAAUGCGCAGAUAUCAGGAGGAACACCGGUGGCGAAGGCGGGUCUCUGGGCAGUAACUGACGCUGAGGAGCGAAAGCGUGGGGAGCGAACAGG
rnacentral:rRNA from 1 species